AAUCCCUUCCCACUAAUAAACUCAAAAAAAUUCCUAUUACCCUAAAAAUCUCUACAACAACCACCUUCCUCUUGAUGUGGAUGAAGAUUUGACAAUGGACAAGAAGAUGAAUGAAUGGAACGUCGUUGACUCGGAUGCAUUGUUGGUCGACACUCACUUCCACAAUUUCUGCAAUUUUCAAGCAUGUUGAUUUAAAUUUGUACAUAUAUAUAUAUAUAUAUAUUUAAAUGAAUAUGUAUAUAUAUAUAUAUAUUUAUUUAUUUAUUUAUUUAAAUGAAUAUGUAUAUAUAUAUAUAUAUAUAUAUAUGAUGGAGAAUAAAGUUUGAUAUUUUACCCUCCUUCAGAGGAAGAUGAUCUUGCAAGAGGAUUAAUUCGACACCGCAUGUCUUCAUCCAUAAACAACAUUUCAGCUUGAGAAGGAUCUUCUAACAACAAUUUGGCCACCAAAUACCCGGAAAUGGUCCAUGUUUGUAGCUUACGAG
rnacentral:lncRNA from 1 species